rnacentral:tRNA from 1 species
GGGCGAUUAGCUCAGUUGGUUUAGAGCACGUCACUGAUAAUGACGGGGUCCCUGGUUCGAACCCAGGAUCGCCCA